GACGAACGCUGGCGGCGUGCUUAACACAUGCAAGUCGAACGGAAAGGCCCCGCUUUUGUGGGGUGCUCGCGUGGCGAACGUGUGUGUAACAUGUGAGUAACCUUCCCUUUACUUUGGGAUAACUUCAGGAAACUGGUGCUAAUACCUGCUAGGAGCUCCUGCUGCAUGGUGGGGUUUGGAAAGUUUAGGCGGUUGGGGAUGGACUGGCGGCUUAUCAGCUUGUUGGUGGGGUAGUGGCUUACCAAGGCUUCGACGGGUAGCCGGCCUGAGAGGGUGAACGGGCACAUGAGGACUGAGAGACGGACCAGACGCCUACGGGAGGCAGCAGUGGGGAGUAUGGCACAGUGGGGGGAAGCCUGAGGAGGAAACGCCGGGAGCGGGGUGAAGGCCUUCGGGUGGUAAACCGCAUUAGCCUGUGACGAAGCGUGAGUGACGGUAAUGGGUAAAGAAGCACCGGCUAACUACGUG
rnacentral:rRNA from 1 species